rnacentral:misc_RNA from 1 species
AUAUAUAUCAACCUCUUCAGCUUUUUGCAUGUUGAGUUGUUGGAUGUGGGGGGCUAUUUUUUGCUGGACUUCUUGAGAAAUCUGAGUUCAGCUCCCCUAAAAUACAUUAGCGAAACAAUUUGUUUACUGCUCAUUGGUGUGAUAACCUAUCUACGCUAUUGAUGUUGAAGCAGUUCAGCUUAUAACAGUCCAUUGACUUGGACAAUCUUAUUA